UGGCGUAGAUCACAGACACAGC
rnacentral:miRNA from 1 species